ensembl:lncRNA
GCAGAGUAGAUGACAGAGUACUGUCUCAAACUGCAGUCUAAGAUGAGUCUGUCAAAGCGAUGGGAAACUCAGUCUAGAGGCAUUCGAAAAAUCCUUUAUUAGUCUAUUCAAGAAAACGUGGGUGGCGGUCGUUUCGCAUGCACCCUGUUAAAGCUUUAAGAGUAUUAUUUUAUUAGUUUUCCUUUCUCUGGACAUUGGCUUUGGGCCCAGUUGCAGACUCCCUGGCCUUAUUUUACACCUGUGUGCACUGUAAACUUCAUUUUUCCAUGCUAUCAGGGUGUCUGAUAGCACGGAUAUAGAUAGCAUUUGCCUGUCUUAGAAUAAUCUGCCUUAUACUUAAUUAAUAUUAUUAAUGUAUGCUUCUGCAGGAAUUGUCAGACAGCCGAUUAGGUCCAGAUUAUGGUUAAACAAAGGCACCAGAUUGGCAUAUAUCUGCCGCUGGUACUCGAAUGAAAGGAAUGCUAACCUGAAACCAAUUAAGCUUUUCACCAGUAUGACUGUCUUCCCUCUGGGGGUCUUUCCUAAUUGCUAAGGCGCCACUCUUUUUUUAAUCUCCCUUUUUAUCUCUAUAUUGCAAUGCUAGUGUUAAUUUGCUGGAAGUGCAGUUGAUUAAUGAAUGACUUUAAUCAGGAUUUGAAAUCACGAGGCGCUCUCCUAGAUGCUGGUGAUCACUGAAAACCUAAAACCCGUCACUACUAUAUGCGCAUUCUCUUUUACUGAAUGAUUUUUCUUUGAUUAGUAAAAAAAAAAAAAAAAAUCAAGGAUAAAUCAAUGGGAAUAUUUCUUUCAAGCUGCGACUGUGAAAUCCGAGUUUAAAAGACAGAAACGAUAUAUAGCAAGUGAUAUUAAAACCCAGUGGUGUCAUUAUUGGAGGGUACCGAGAUAAACGGUGUCUCUGAUUCUUGAGCGAGUGGAAUCCUUGGCUAUCAGAUACAAUAAAAAAAAAAAAAAAAAGACUGUAGGAAGAGGCAGUUAAGCUUCAUGUCAUAAUCCUUCCGAUCUCAAAUCCAAAGUGUGAUUUUCUUCCUCAGUCUCCCAGAAUUUCCUCUCAGAAAUUACCAUUUACCAAUUACACGGUGUCAGGAGUGAUUCAUAUCUCUUUAAUGAGAAAUGACAGUAGAUAGUGGAGAGCCACCUCGGGUUUGAUUUCAUUCUCAGUGGGAUGGGAUGAUCUGUUGACAGAACUACCCAGCAGACAGAAACAGUGGCAGAGGAAGCCGUCAGCAGUCUUUCAGUCAUGUCCUCAAUGCAACGAAGAGCAAGAGGCCACUCAAGGCAGGUGGAGGAAAGCUUUCAAUCACUUAUUCCUAACCUUGACUUUUUUGAACUACUAGAGGGGUGGCCACUGCAAUUAACAUUGUUAAACCUGUGUCCAAGCAUUGCAUUCCAAAU